GAUGAACGCUGGCGGCGUGCCUAAUACAUGCAAGUCGAGCGAACGGACGAGAAGCUUGCUUCUCUGAUGUUAGCGGCGGACGGGUGAGUAACACGUGGAUAACCUACCUAUAAGACUGGGAUAACUUCGGGAAACCGGAGCUAAUACCGGAUGAUAUUUUGAACCGCAUGGUUCAAAAGUGAAAGACGGUCUUGCUGUCACUUAUAGAUGGAUCCGCGCUGCAUUAGCUAGUUGGUAAGGUAACGGCUUACCAAGGCAACGAUGCAUAGCCGACCUGAGAGGGUGAUCGGCCACACUGGAACUGAGACACGGUCCAGACUCCUACGGGAGGCAGCAGUAGGGAAUCUUCCGCAAUGGGCGAAAGCCUGACGGAGCAACGCCGCGUGAGUGAUGAAGGUCUUCGGAUCGUAAAACUCUGUUAUUAGGGAAGAACAUAUGCGUAAGUAACUGUGCACAUCCUGACGGUACCUAAUCAGAAAGCCACGGCUAACUACGUG
rnacentral:rRNA from 1 species